rnacentral:snoRNA from 1 species
CCCCUCCAGAUUCCUUACCCCUUGGGCCUCAAUAUUGGUCUGACUGGCUUUAAAAAGAGGAGGAAGGGUUUAACUAAAGUGGACUUGGAGUCUUAGUGACAUUAAAGUUCAUUGCAAACAAAC